CGGGGAACUUUCCUUUUGCCCAAGUGCUUCUGUGUGUUCCACUUCCAAGAGCUUUCCUUCAGUCCCUGCCCAGCACACAUCCCCUCCAGCCUCCUCCCCAUCUUCCUCCUUCCCCAGAUGGCUAUGGAUUCUGGUCUUCAUCUGCUACAUUUCAACACAUCCCAGCCGACUUCCACCCCCACCGUGCACGGUCUUAACAACUACCAUCAACAACAUCUACUAAUGUCUUACAAGACUGUAGAUACACAAGCCCUACUGACGUCUGCAUGGAUCAUCCGGAGGUCGGAAACAUGCUUUGCGACUGUCAACUGCAUGAUAAAACUGUCAGAAAUCUAUGGAGGCAGCCGCGUACAUUUUGAAGCCAGAGUCAAAGUUCUAUUUAUUCUUCGACAGUAUUUGUGAAUCUAAAUUCUUGGGAACACUCAGUUCUCUGGCCCAAUUUGUUCUGAAGCAGAUGAAGAUUCAAGGACAUACUGAACUUACCUGUGAAGCCCAAUUUUACCACUGCUUAGCUGCGUAACUUCAGACAAGUUCCAUAACCUCU
ensembl:lncRNA